UACAGGGGGUGCAAACGUUGCUCGGAAUUAUUGGGCGUAAAGCGCACGUAGGCGGUUGCUUAAGUCGGAUGUGAAAGCCCUUGGCUCAACCAAGGAAGUGCAUCCGAAACUGAGCAGCUGGAGUACGAAAGAGGGUCGCGGAAUUCCCGGUGUAGAGGUGAAAUUCGUAGAUAUCAAGCGGAACACCGGUGGCGAAGGCGGCCUUCUGGACAGUGACUGACGCUGAGACGCGAAAGCGUGGGGAGCAAACAGG
rnacentral:rRNA from 1 species